rnacentral:rRNA from 1 species
GAGUGAACGCUGGCGGUAGGCCUACCCCCUGCAAGUCGAACGGCAGCACAGUAAGAGCUUGCUCUUACGGGUGGCGAGUGGCGGACGGGUGAGGAAUACAUCGGAAUCUACUUUUUCGUGGGGGAUAACGUAGGGAAACUUACGCUAAUACCGCAUACGACCUACGGGUGAAAGCAGGGGAUCUUCGGACCUUGCGCGAUUGAAUGAGCCGAUGUCGGAUUAGCUAGUUGGCGGAGUAAAGGCCCACCAAGGCGACGAUCCGUAGCUGGUCUGAGAGGAUGAUCAGCCACACUGGAACUGAGACACGGUCCAGACUCCUACGGGAGGCAGCAGUGGGGAAUAUUGGACAAUGGGCGCAAGCCUGAUCCAGCCAUACCGCGUGGGUGAAGAAGGCCUUCGGGUUGUAAAGCCCUUUUGUUGGGAAAGAAAAGCAGCAGGUUAAUACCCCGCUGUUCUGACGGUACCCAAAGAAUAAGCACCGGCUAACUUCGUG